CAGGAGCUGCCUCAGCCUCACCCUUGCCAAAGAGUGGAGAGAGCAAGAGAGUGGGCGACUUGUAGGUGCACGCUGCAAGAGCCGGAGAAGCGGGGGACGACGGCAAAGAGUCGAAAUCGAAAGAGAAGACCUGGCGCUAGAUGGAGUCACAGAGAAGAGACCUUCUGGUCUACUGAUAUGCUGGGCCACGGUAUGGUGUGAGCCAUACCCAGCCACAUUAAGCCCUCCGCCACUGGUAAUGGCUAUACUAGGUUGGGUCAAAGAUAGGAUUCACUUGGGGCCGUCAGGCUUAGAACCGCCAGCGUUGAGGCAAGUGGAAAUCAAUCUUUCCAGCUCUAUAGAGGCAGUGUUUCCAGUUUUAUAAGGUGAAGAGCUACCCUCUCCAUGCUUUGUCCAAAUCAUGUAAUCCUUCAUAAAUCCUUGGGAGACCAUAUGAGAAGUGAUUCAUUGUGUGCCAUCAAAUACAAAAACAUUUUUGCAUUC